AGUAAAAUGCCUGAUAAAAAGGCCUAUCUUGAUAGGAUAGAUUAUGUAAUAAAAUUACUUUUACUA
rnacentral:tRNA from 1 species